rnacentral:rRNA from 1 species
ACUCAACCUCCUCAAAUAGAGGAAAGCUUGCAUGCAGGCCUCUGCCGUCGACGGGCCCGGGAUCCGAUUGGACUUAGAUCCUGGCUCAUAAUCAACGCUGGCGGCGUGCCUACUUCUGCAAGUCGAAAGCCAAAGCCCCGCAAGGGGUAAGUAGAGUGGCAAACGGGUGAUUAACGCGUGGGUGAUCUCCCUCUGUGUCACGGAUAGUCUUUAGAAAGGAGGGCUAAUACCUCCAUCACAUCGCUUUCUCCGAUUACUGCUAUAUUAUUCCCACUACCUG